ACUACGGGGGGCAGCAGUGGGGAAUAUUGCACAAUGGGCGCAAGCCUGAUGCAGCCAUGCCGCGUGUGUGAAGAAGGCCUUCGGGUUGUAAAGCACUUUCAGCGGGGAGGAAGGCGUUAAGGUUAAUAACCUUGUCGAUUGACGUUACCCGCAGAAGAAGCACCGGCUAACUCCGUGCCAGCAGCCGCGGUAAUACGGAGGGUGCAAGCGUUAAUCGGAAUUACUGGGCGUAAAGCGCACGCAGGCGGUCUGUCAAGUCGGAUGUGAAAUCCCCGGGCUCAACCUGGGAACUGCAUUCGAAACUGGCAGGCUAGAGUCUUGUAGAGGGGGGUAGAAUUCCAGGUGUAGCGGGGAAAUGCGUAGAGAUCUGGAGGAAUACCGGUGGCGAAGGCGGCCCCCUGGACAAAGACUGACGCGCAGGUGCGAAAGCGUGGGGAGCAAACAGGAUUAGAUACCCCGGUAGUC
rnacentral:rRNA from 1 species